UACGGAGGGUGCAAGCGUUGUCCGGAUUUAUUGGGUUUAAAGGGUGCGUAGGCGGAUUAUUAAGUCAGUGGUGAAAGCCUUCAGCUUAACUGAAGAACUGCCAUUGAUACUGAUGAUCUUGAGUAUGAUUGAGGCGGGCGGAAUGUGUCAUGUAGCGGUGAAAUGCUUAGAUAUGACACAGAACACCGAUUGCGAAGGCAGCUCGCUAAGCCAUAACUGACGCUGAUGCACGAAAGCGUGGGGAGCAAACAGG
rnacentral:rRNA from 1 species